GGGGAACCAGGACUUUUACUUUGAAAAAAUNAGAGUGCUCCAGGCAGGCCUAUGCUSGAAUACAUUAGCAUGGAAUAAUAGAAUAGGACGUGUGGUUCUAUUUUGUUGGUUUCUAGGACCGCCGUAAUGAUUAAUAGGGCCAGUCGGGGGCAUCAGUAUUCAAUUGUCAGAGGUGAAAUUCUUGGAUCUAUUGAAGACUAACUACUGCGAAAGCAUUUGCCAAGGAUGUUUUCAUUGAUAAGGAACGAAAGUUAGGGGAUCGAAGACGAUCAGAUACCGUCGUAGUCUUAACCAUAAACUAUGCCGACUAGGGAUCGGACGAUGUUAUCUUUUGACGCGUUCGGCACCUUUCGAGAAAUCAAAGUGCUUGGGCUCCAGGGGGAGUAUGGUCGCAAGGCUGAAACUUAAAGAAAUUGACGGAAGGGCACCACCAGGGGUGGAACCUGCGGCUUAAUUUGACCCAACACGGGGAAACUCACCAGGUCCAGACACAGUGAGGAUUGACAGAUUGAGAGCUCUUUCUUGAUUCUGUGGGUGGUGGUGCAUGGCCGUUCUUAGUUGGUGGAGCGAUUUGUCUGCUUAAUUGCGAUAACGAACGAGACCU
rnacentral:rRNA from 1 species